GUAGGUGGCAAGCGUUGUCCGGAAUUAUUGGGCGUAAAGCGCGCGCAGGCGGUUCUUUAAGUCUGAUGUGGAAGCCCACGGCUCAACCGUGGAGGGUCAUUGGAAACUGGAGAACUUGAGUACAGAAGAGGAAAGCGGAAUUCCACGUGUAGCGGCGAAAUGCGUAGAGAUGUGGAGGAACACCAGUGGCGAAGGCGGCUUUCUGGUCUGUAACUGACGCUGAGGCGCGAAAGCGUGGGGAGCAAACAGGGAUUAGAUACCCUGGUAGUCCACGCCGUAAACGAUGAGUGCUAAGUGUUAGGGGGUUUCCGCCCCCUUAGUGCUGCAGCUAACGCAUUAAGCACUCCGCCUGGGGAGUACGGCCGCAAGGCUG
rnacentral:rRNA from 1 species